rnacentral:rRNA from 1 species
GACGAACGUUGGCGGCGUGCUUAACACAUGCAAGUCGAACGGAAAGGCCCUGCUUUUGUGGGGUGCUCGAGUGGCGAACGGGUGAGUAACACGUGAGUAACCUGCCCUUGACUUUGGGAUAACUUCAGGAAACUGGGGCUAAUACCGGAUAGGAGCUCCUGCUGCAUGGUGGGGGUUGGAAAGUUUCGGCGGUUGGGGAUGGACUCGCGGCUUAUCAGCUUGUUGGUGGGGUAGUGGCUUACCAAGGCUUUGACGGGUAGCCGGCCUGAGAGGGUGACCGGCCACAUUGGGACUGAGAUACGGCCCAGACUCCUACGGGAGGCAGCAGUGGGGAAUAUUGCACAAUGGGCGGAAGCCUGAUGCAGCAACGCCGCGUGCGGGAUGACGGCCUUCGGGUUGUAAACCGCUUUCGCCUGUGACGAAGCGUGAGUGACGGUAAUGGGUAAAGAAGCACCGGCUAACUACGUGCCAGCAGCCGCGGUGAUACGUAGGGUGCGAGCGUUGUCCGGAUUUAUUGGGCGUAAAGGGCUCGUAGGUGGUUGAUCGCGUCGGAAGUGUAAUCUUGGGGCUUAACCCUGAGCGUGCUUUCGAUACGGGUUGACUUGAGGAAGGUAGGGGAGAAUGGAAUUCCUGGUGGAGCGGUGGAAUGCGCAGAUAUCAGGAGGAACACCAGUGGCGAAGGCGGUUCUCUGGGCCUUUCCUGACGCUGAGGAGCGAAAGCGUGGGGAGCGAACAGGCUUAGAUACCCUGGUAGUCCACGCUGUAAACGGUGGGUACUAGGUGUGGGGUCCAUUCCACGGGUUCCGUGCCGUAGCUAACGCUUUAAGUACCCCGCCUGGGGAGUACGGCCGCAAGGCUAAAACUCAAAGGAAUUGACGGGGCCCCGCACAAGCGGCGGAGCAUGCGGAUUAAUUCGAUGCAACGCGUAGAACCUUACCUGGGUUUGACAUGGAUCGGGAGUGCUCAGAGAUGGGUGUGCCUCUUUUGGGGUCGGUUCACAGGUGGUGCAUGCCUGUCGUCAGCUCGUGUCGUGAGAUGUUGGGUUAAGUCCCGCAACGAGCGCAACCCUUGUUCACUGUUGCCAGCACGUUAUGGUGGGGACUCAGUGGAGACCGCCGGGGUCAACUCGGAGGAAGGUGGGGAUGGCGUCAAGUCCUCAUGCCCCUUAUGUCCAGGGCUUCACGCAUGCUACAAUGGCUGGUACAGAGAGUGGCGAGCCUGUGAGGGUGAGCGAAUCUCGGAAAGCCGGUCUCAGUUCGGAUUGGGGUCUGCAACUCGACCUCAUGAAGUCGGAGUCGCUAGUAAUCGCAGAUCAGCAACGCUGCGGUGAAUACGUUCCCGGGGCU